GCCCCAGUAGCUCAGUGGUCAGAGCAUCCGGUUUCUACCCGGAGUGCCGGGGGUUCGAAUCCUCCCUGGGGCGCCA
rnacentral:tRNA from 1 species